AACGCCACACUUCCGGCUGUCUUUGCGCGCCGUGCUCGUGUCCAUCCGGUGUCCCCGACGGAACGCGACACUUCCGGUCCCCCGCGCGUGGGGCGCGUAGGGUGGGUUCCUGUUGUAGGACUCAAGCUCCGUGUUCGUCGAGAAAUCCGCCGGGAACACGGGGGAUCUCAGCUGUACCCUCAAGGGGCUUACGUAAAGUUGUAAACAAUAAACGAAGGCAAACGCAUUAAGUCAAAAUAUGACCGGUGUUUAAAGCGUUUGAGCUUCAUGAGGGUCCACAGCUGUGAUUUCUGACAUCUGUCUAGUACAGUAGGUGUACAUGGAGAAGAGCAGCAUGGGAGCAGAAGGGAUUAUGAUCCCCUUUACAUUUGAGAAAACUGAGGCUCCGAGAGGUUGGUAAACCUGCUCAGGGUCCCCGACUGAUCCAGGGACGUCAGAAAUCUGAUAGUCCCCACACUUGGGGCAGGGUCGGGAAGGAUGGAGCUUCAGCUCCACCCUAGAGCCGUGAGCCUAUACCUUGA